rnacentral:rRNA from 1 species
UACGAAGGGGGCUAGCGUUGCUCGGAAUCACUGGGCGUAAAGCGCACGUAGGCGGACUCUUAAGUCGGUGGUGAAAUCCUGGAGCUCAACUCCAGAACUGCCUUCGAUACUGGGAGUCUCGAGUCCGGGAGAGGUGAGUGGAAUUCCUAGUGUAGAGGUGAAAUUCGUAGAUAUUAGGAAGAAACACCAGUGGCGAAGGCGGCUCACUGGCCCGGUACUGACGCUGAGGCGGCGAAAAGCGUGGG